rnacentral:rRNA from 1 species
GGUUUCCAGAGGAAGGCUCGUCCGCUCUGGGUUAGUCGGGUCCUAAGCUGAGGCCGACAGGCGUAGGCGAUGGAUAACAGGUUGACAUUCCUGUACCACCUAUAAUCGUUUUAAUCGAUGGGGGGACGCAGUAGGAUAGGCGAAGCGUGCGAUUGGAUUGCACGUCUAAGCAGUAAGGCUGAGUAUUAGGCAAAUCCGGUACUCAUUAAGGCUGAGCUGUGAUGGGGAGAAGACAUUGUGUCUUCGAGUCGUUGAUUUCACACUGCCGAGAAAAGCCUCUAGAUAGAAAAUAGGUGCCCGUACCGCAAACCGACACAGGUAGUCAAGAUGAGAAUUCUAAGGUGAGCGAGCGAACUCUCGUUAAGGAACUCGGCAAAAUGACCCCGUAACUUCGGGAGAAGGGGUGCUCUUUAGGGUUAACGCCCAGAAGAGCCGCAGUGAAUAGGCCCAAGCGACUGUUUAUCAAAAACACAGGUCUCUGCUAAACCGUAAGGUGAUGUAUAGGGGCUGACGCCUGCCCGGUGCUGGAAGGUUAAGAGGAGUGGUUAGCUUCUGCGAAGCUACGAAUCGAAGCCCCAGUAAACGGCGGCCGUAACUAUAACGGUCCUAAGGUAGCGAAAUUCCUUGUCGGGUAAGUUCCGACCCGCACGAAAGGCGUAACGAUUUGGGCACUGUCUCAACGAGAGACUCGGUGAAAUCAUAGUACCUGUGAAGAUGCAGGUUACCCGCGACAGGACGGAAAGACCCCGUGGAGCUUUACUGUAGCCUGAUAUUGAAAUUCGGCACAGCUUGUACAGGAUAGGUAGGAGCCUUUGAAACGUGAGCGCUAGCUUACGUGGAGGCGCUGGUGGGAUACUACCCUAGCUGUGUUGGCUUUCUAACCCGCACCACUUAUCGUGGUGGGAGACAGUGUCAGGCGGGCAGUUUGACUGGGGCGGUCGCCUCCUAAAAGGUAACGGAGGCGCUCAAAGGUUCCCUCAGAAUGGUUGGAAAUCAUUCAUAGAGUGUAAAGGCAUAAGGGAGCUUGACUGCGAGACCUACAAGUCGAGCAGGGUCGAAAGACGGACUUAGUGAUCCGGUGGUUCCGCAUGGAAGGGCCAUCGCUCAACGGAUAAAAGCUACCCCGGGGAUAACAGGCUUAUCUCCCCCAAGAGUUCACAUCGACGGGGAGGUUUGGCACCUCGAUGUCGGCUCAUCGCAUCCUGGGGCUGUAGUCGGUCCCAAGGGUUGGGCUGUUCGCCCAUUAAAGCGGUACGCGAGCUGGGUUCAGAACGUCGUGAGACAGUUCGGUCCCUAUCCGUCGUGGGCGUAGGAAAUUUGAGAGGAGCUGUCCUUAGUACGAGAGGACCGGGAUGGACAUACCUCUGGUGUACCAGUUGUCGUGCCAACGGCAUAGCUGGGUAGCUAUGUGUGGACGGGAUAAGUGCUG